UCCUCUUGCCAUCGGAUGUGCCCAGAUGGGAUUAGCUAGUAGGUGGGGUAACGGCUCACCUAGGCGACGAUCCCUAGCUGGUCUGAGAGGAUGACCAGCCACACUGGAACUGAGACACGGUCCAGACUCCUACGGGAGGCAGCAGUGGGGAAUAUUGCACAAUGGGCGCAAGCCUGAUGCAGCCAUGCCGCGUGUAUGAAGAAGGCCUUCGGGUUGUAAAGUACUUUCAGCGAGGAGGAAGGUGUUGUGGUUAAUAACCGCAGCAAUUGACGUUACUCGCAGAAGAAGCACCGGCUAACUCCGUGCCAGCAGCCGCGGUAAUACGGAGGGUGCAAGCGUUAAUCGGAAUUACUGGGCGUAAAGCGCACGCAGGCGGUCUGUCAAGUCGGAUGUGAAAUCCCCGGGCUCAACCUGGGAACUGCAUCCGAAACUGGCAGGCUAGAGUCUUGUAGAGGGGGGUAGAAUUCCAGGUGUAGCGGUGAAAUGCGUAGAGAUCUGGAG
rnacentral:rRNA from 1 species